AACGAACGCUGGCGGCAUGCCUAACACAUGCAAGUCGAACGAGACCUUCGGGUCUAGUGGCGCACGGGUGCGUAACGCGUGGGAACCUGCCCUUAGGUUCGGAAUAACUCCCCGAAAGGGGUGCUAAUACCGGAUAAUGUCUUCGGACCAAAGAUUUAUCGCCUUUGGAUGGGCCCGCGUUGGAUUAGCUAGUUGGUAGGGUAAAAGCCUACCAAGGCGACGAUCCAUAGCUGGUCUGAGAGGAUGAUCAGCCACACUGGGACUGAGACACGGCCCAGAAUCCUACGGGAGGCAGCAGUGGGGAAUAUUGGAAAAUGGGCGAAAGCCUGAUCCAGCAAUGCCGCGUGAGUGAUGAAGGCCUUAGGGUUGUAAAGCUCUUUUACCCGGGAUGAUAAUGACAGUACCGGGAGAAUAAGCGCCGGCUAACUCCGUG
rnacentral:rRNA from 1 species